UAGGGAAUCUUCCGCAAUGGACGAAAGUCUGACGGAGCAACGCCGCGUGAGUGAUGAAGGUUUUCGGAUCGUAAAGCUCUGUUGUUAGGGAAGAACAAGUGCCGUUCAAAUAGGGCGGCACCUUGACGGUACCUAACCAGAAAGCCACGGCUAACUACGUGCCAGCAGCCGCGGUAAUACGUAGGUGGCAAGCGUUGUCCGUAAUUAUUGGGCGUAAAGGGCUCGCAGGCGGUUUCUUAAGUCUGAUGUGAAAGCCCCCGGCUCAACCGGGGAGGGUCAUUGGAAACUGGGGAACUUGAGUGCAGAAGAGGAGAGUGGAAUUCCACGUGUAGCGGUGAAAUGCGUAGAGAUGUGGAGGAACACCAGUGGCGAAGGCGACUCUCUGGUCUGUAACUGACGCUGAGGAGCGAAAGCGUGGGGAGCGAACA
rnacentral:rRNA from 1 species